rnacentral:rRNA from 1 species
CAGGCUUAACACAUGCAAGUCGAGGGGCAGCAUGGUCUUAGCUUGCUAAGGCCGAUGGCGACCGGCGCACGGGUGAGUAACACGUAUCCAACCUGCCGUCUACUCUUGGACAGCCUUCUGAAAGGAAGAUUAAUACAAGAUGGCAUCAUGAGUCCGCAUGUUCACAUGAUUAAAGGUAUUCCGGUAGACGAUGGGGAUGCGUUCCAUUAGAUAGUAGGCGGGGUAACGGCCCACCUAGUCUUCGAUGGAUAGGGGUUCUGAGAGGAAGGUCCCCCACAUUGGAACUGAGACACGGUCCAAACUCCUACGGGAGGCAGCAGUGAGGAAUAUUGGUCAAUGGGCGAGAGCCUGAACCAGCCAAGUAGCGUGAAGGAUGACUGCCCUAUGGGUUGUAAACUUCUUUUAUAAAGGAAUAAAGUCGGGUAUGCAUACCCGUUUGCAUGUACUUUAUGAAUAAGGAUCGGCUAACUCCGUGCCAGCAGCCGCGGUAAUACGGAGGAUCCGAGCGUUAUCCGGAUUUAUUGGGUUUAAAGGGAGCGUAGAUGGAUGUUUAAGUCAGUUGUGAAAGUUUGCGGCUCAACCGUAAAAUUGCAGUUGAUACUGGAUAUCUUGAGUGCAGUUGAGGCAGGCGGAAUUCGUGGUGUAGCGGUGAAAUGCUUAGAUAUCACGAAGAACUCCGAUUGCGAAGGCAGCCUGCUAAGCUGCAACUGACAUUGAGGCUCGAAAGUGUGGGUAUCAAACAGGAUUAGAUACCCUGGUAGUCCACACGGUAAACGAUGAAUACUCGCUGUUUGCGAUAUACAGCAAGCGGCCAAGCGAAAGCGUUAAGUAUUCCACCUGGGGAGUACGCCGGCAACGGUGAAACUCAAAGGAAUUGACGGGGGCCCGCACAAGCGGAGGAACAUGUGGUUUAAUUCGAUGAUACGCGAGGAACCUUACCCGGGCUUAAAUUGCAGAUGAAUUACGGUGAAAGCCGUAAGCCGCAAGGCAUCUGUGAAGGUGCUGCAUGGUUGUCGUCAGCUCGUGCCGUGAGGUGUCGGCUUAAGUGCCAUAACGAGCGCAACCCUUGUUGUCAGUUACUAACAGGUUCCGCUGAGGACUCUGACAAGACUGCCAUCGUAAGAUGUGAGGAAGGUGGGGAUGACGUCAAAUCAGCACGGCCCUUACGUCCGGGGCUACACACGUGUUACAAUGGGGGGUACAGAGGGCCGCUACCACGCGAGUGGAUGCCAAUCCCAAAAACCUCUCUCAGUUCGGACUGGAGUCUGCAACCCGACUCCACGAAGCUGGAUUCGCUAGUAAUCGCGCAUCAGCCACGGCGCGGUGAAUACGUUCCCGGGCCUUGUACACACCGCCCGUCAAGCCAUGGGAGCCGGGGGUACCUGAAGUGCGUAACCGCGAGGAGCGCCCUAGGGUAAAACUGGUGACUGGGGCUAAGUCAUAACAAGGUAACCGUA